ensembl:rRNA 5S_rRNA 5S ribosomal RNA
GUUUACAGCCAUGCUACCUUAAAGAAGCCUCAUCCUGUCUGAUCUCAGAAGCCAAGCAGGGUCAGGCCUGGUUAGUACUUGGAUGAGAGACCACGUAGGUAGACCAGGUGCUGUAGGUG